ACCACAAGAGUGCCAUGGUUACAAACUGACGUAUAUGAUUAUGGGGUGAAAUCAUAAAUACACUAGCCUAUAGAAGGACAUCUUAACAUUGGGAAUGGGAGGAAAUACAUAUAAGGAAGAGGGGAGAAACCCCUAUUCAAUAUUCAUUAGUCAUGGUAACGUCAGCAUAACAUAUUAUAAAAAUGGCAUCCCAGGGCAGUAGGGGAGAGAAUGAUGGCAACUGCUGAAGAUGAGGAAGGUGACGGUGGUGAGGAAGAUAAUGGUUAACAUUUCGGGUUGUUCUGCAAGGGAUGGUAAAGACUUGGACUGAACAGGUUGGCUGGAGUCCUCCUGGAAUGGAACAGCAGAAGAGGCUCACUAAACCUCUGUUUGUCAUCUAUAGAGCCAGUCCAAAUUGUGUUAGGAUAUUGCAUAAACAUACAAGAAAAAGAUGGUCCCUGCCCCAAGGAGCUAACAAUCUGAGAAUAAAAUGAGAGACAACAGGAGAAUACACCAAACAGACUAGUGAGCACAAGGAGCUGGUCUGUACUGGUCUACAGGAAGGACCAUCCAUUAGAAGGCAUUGGACACCAACACUAACCAAUUCAUUCCUGUAUCUCUGGAAACACUCCUGUAUCAUUUAUUUAAUGAUUCCUUCACUUACGAUUUAACAGAAACAAGAACAGGACAAACCACACUGCACCGUUGUAUCUCUAUUCACUUUUAAUGAUUAAGCAAGAGAAACAAACUACAGUAUCUUCAUUCUAUUACAGAAUAAUGAAUGUGCCCUCUUUGUGAAUUACUAAAUUACCACUUCAACAGAGCACAA